AUUGAACGCUGGCGGCAUGCCUUACACAUGCAAGUCGAACGGCAGCAUAGGAGCUUGCUCCUGAUGGCGAGUGGCGAACGGGUGAGUAAUAUAUCGGAACGUGCCCUAGAGUGGGGGAUAACUAGUCGAAAGACUAGCUAAUACCGCAUACGAUCUACGGAUGAAAGUGGGGGAUCGCAAGACCUCAUGCUCCUGGAGCGGCCGAUAUCUGAUUAGCUAGUUGGUGGGGUAAAAGCCUACCAAGGCGACGAUCAGUAGCUGGUCUGAGAGGACGACCAGCCACACUGGGACUGAGACACGGCCCAGACUCCUACGGGAGGCAGCAGUGGGGAAUUUUGGACAAUGGGGGCAACCCUGAUCCAGCAAUGCCGCGUGAGUGAAGAAGGCCUUCGGGUUGUAAAGCUCUUUUGUCAGGGAAGAAACGGUAGUAGCUAAUAUCUAUUACUAAUGACGGUACCUGAAGAAUAAGCACCGGCUAACUACGUGCCAGCCGCCGCCGUAAGAC
rnacentral:rRNA from 1 species